rnacentral:rRNA from 1 species
CCUACGGGUGGCAGCAGUGAGGAAUAUUGGUCAAUGGCCGCAGGGCUGAACCAGCCAAGUCGCGUGAGGGAUGACGGUCCUAUGGAUUGUAAACCUCUUUUGUCAGGGAGCAAAGGGCGCCAAGUGUGGCGUUUUGCGAGUACCUGAAGAAAAAGCAUCGGCUAACCACGCGCCAGCAGCCGCGGUAAUACGGAGGAUGCGAGCGUUACCCGGAUUUAUUGGGUUUAACGGGUGCGCAGGCGGAAUGUGAAGUCAGCGGUAAAAUUUCGGGGCUCAACCCCGUCGUGCCGUUGAAACUGGCGAUCUUGAGUGAGCGAGAGGUAUGCGGAGUGCGUGGUGUAGCGGUGAAAUGCAUAGAUAUCACGAAGAACUCCGAUUGCGAAGGCAGCAUACCGGCGCUCAACUGACGCUCAUGCACGAAAGCGUGGGUAUCGAACAGGAUUAGAUACCCUUGUAGUC